AAGUCGUAACAAGGUUUCCGUAGGUGAACCUGCGGAAGGAUUAUCAAAUUAAUACUUGUUAACCAAUAUCAACCAAAUGUGAACUGUAACGUCCCUAUUGUAUUCGAAAGGAUACAGUAGACAAUACCCCAUCAACUAGUAGUCACUGGUUGUCUCUCAGUACUUCGGUUCUGUUGAGAUGACCGAGUGAUGAAGUAUUCACCAAUUUUAACCCUAUAACUAAUAAUUGUCUAAUCUCAUAACUUUUGUGACGGUUCUCUUUCGGGAGGAUGGUGACUAAAGAUUACGAAAUAAUGAACAACUCUUAGCAAUGGAUAUCUUGGGUCAU
rnacentral:misc_RNA from 1 species